rnacentral:rRNA from 1 species
ACGAAAAAUAACGAUACGGGACUCAUCCGAGGCCCCGUAAUCGGAAUGAGUACACUCUAAACCCUUUAACGAGGAUCAAUUGGAGGGCAAGUCUGGUGCCAGCAGCCGCGGUAAUUCCAGCUCCAAUAGCGUAUAUUAAAGUUGUUGCGGUUAAAAAGCUCGUAGUCGAAUUUGUGUCCCGCGCCGCCGGUUCAUCGCUCGCGGUGUCAACUGGCGUGUCCGCGGGACGUCCUGCCGGUGGGCUUAGCCCCUGUGGGCGGCCCAAUUUCAAUCCCACCGCGGUGCUCUUCACUGAGUGUCGAGGUGGGCCGGCACGUUUACUUUGAACAAAUUAGAGUGCUUAAAGCAGGCUAAAACAUCGCCUGAAUACUGUGUGCAUGGAAUAAUGGAAUAGGACCUCGGUUCUAUUUUGUUGGUUUUCGGAACCCCGAGGUAAUGAUUAAUAGGAACGGAUGGGGGCAUUCGUAUUGCGACGUUAGAGGUGAAAUUCUUGGAUCGUCGCAAGACGGACAGAAGCGAAAGCAUUUGCCAAAAACGCUUUCAUUGAUCAAGAACGAAAGUUAGAGGUUCGAAGGCGAUCAGAUACCGCCCUAGUUCUAACCAUAAACGAUGCCAGCUAGCGAUCCGCCGACGUUCCUCCGAUGACUCGGCGGGCAGCUUCCGGGAAACCAAAGCUUUUGGGUUCCGGGGGAAGUAUGGUUGCAAAGCUGAAACUUAAAGGAAUUGACGGAAGGGCACCACCAGGAGUGGAGCCUGCGGCUUAAUUUGACUCAACACGGGAAACCUCACCAGGCCCGGACACCGGAAGGAUUGACAGAUUGAGAGC